rnacentral:rRNA from 1 species
CGCUGGCGGCGUGCUUAACACAUGCAAGUCGAACGGGGCGAAGUGAUAGCUUGCUAUUAUGGAGCCUAGUGGCAAACGGGUGAGUAACGCGUAGGCAACCUGCCCUUCAGAUGGGGACAACACCUCGAAAGGGGUGCUAAUACCGAAUGACGUUUCCUAGUCGCAUGACCUGGAAACCAAAGGCCGGGCAACCGGUCACUGAAGGAUGGGCCUGCGUCUGAUUAGCUAGUUGGUGGGGUAACGGCCCACCAAGGCGACGAUCAGUAGCCGGUCUGAGAGGAUGAACGGCCACAUUGGGACUGAGACACGGCCCAAACUCCUACGGGAGGCAGCAGUGGGGAAUCUUCCGCAAUGGGCGCAAGCCUGACGGAGCAACGCCGCGUGAGGGAAGACGGCCUUCGGGUUGUAAACCUCUGUCCUCAGUGACGAAACAAAUGACGGUAGCUGAGGAGGAAGCCACGGCUAACUACGUG